UGUCAAAUGUGCUAAUCAUGGCCCUGCAUCAGAAAGCAUUCGUGCAGAAGGCAAGAACAGUGGCUGGCACAUGGCUAGCCGUUGCAUAAUGCUGCUACCUGUAACUCACGGGUUCCCAUUGUGCAACUGCACAAUGCCGGGAAUUGAGUUAGGCUGUUUGGCAUCAAGAGGCAAAGACUGACGUGGCUUGAGCACGUCCCCAAGGCUCAGAGGGUGGAAAAGUGAUCACCUAUCAAAACCAGCGGAGAGGUGUACCUUUACAGAGGAGAUUAAGUCCCCAGGGCUCUAUCUCCAUGAGAGGAAAAUGUCCACAUCGGGUGAGUUUGUUAUGCUGAGAGUCCUCCUCUGGCCUUCUGCUGCAGCGUGACACAGCAAGAAGGUUGUCCCCAGUAGACGUCCCAGUCUUCAGGAUGGUGAGCGGGAUUCUGGGACAGCAGCACAGGAUGGACCAUGAUAACACAAUGCAGAACCCACCAACUUUUUCUUAAGUAAACAAGUUGUUGUAAAGAUUGAUUGACAAAGCCAAAUCCGGAGAUUAUAGUUCUUCAGAAAUGGGCUCUGCAUUGUGCUUUCAAAUGGGAAUAACAUGAGAAAAUGGGCAUUGAAACCAGAAAUAGCUACUUUUUAAAAAAGCAGCACAAAUUGGGAGGUUAUUAGACUGGAAAGGCUCUGGAACUUAAAUCCCUACAAAACAAAACAAAACAAAACAAAACAAAUGCCAAGCAAAGCCCAGGGUAAACUCUGAGACUAGAAACCAACUAGAACUGACCCUAGGCAGGAGCUUUCUACUCUAGCCAAUAAAAAUUCAUUUUGCAUGUGCAACCAACAAAUAACUUGGAUGCCCAUCAACAAAUAAAAUGGAUAAGAUAUGUUGUGUAGACAAAGAAUCCAUUUUGCUUCUCUUGUUUCUACAACUACAAACUACAUUUUACAAGUUUACCCUCUCACAAUCCUGGUCUCAUAAAUCAAUAAAUUAAAAAAAUUAAAGUUUAAAUGUGCUGAAGUUUUCCUUUAUCAAUCCAAAAAUCAGAUAUCCAAAUUCCAGGGUUCAACAGAGAUUCAGUUUCAGCCAGCAGUGAACACCCGUUUGUGGGGUUCUCUCUGCUGGUGUGUCUGAGGCCUGAGGACAGGUUCUCACUGCACUCCGGUAGAGGCCCCUGGUAUAGCUUUAGUAAAAGGCAGAUGCAAACAUGAUUAAAAGCUUCUAAACCACAAGGUACUGGACUUUGAUGAAGACCCUGCUUCAGUCCUUGUCCGUGUGCACUAGGCCAGUGAUAUAAUCUUUUUAAAGUUUCCUCAUCUAUUCAGGGCUUCGAACCAUGCAAUUGCUAAGGGCCUUUAGAUCCAAUGGGAUGGUGUCCAGCCUCUCCCUGCACUGAAUGCCUUUCCAUUUUGGGGAUGGCGUCCUGCCUCUCUCUGCACUGAAGGCCAUUCCUCCUCCAGUAGCUGCUACUCACAGUUGUCAGGAGAGAGCUUGUUUACCAUCAUCUGGGCUGUAGGUUCCAGUACACCUGAACCAGACCUCUUUCCAGCUUACAGUUUACAGGAGUCCUGGGAGGGGUGGCAUAGGGAAGAGGCCAGACUAUAUGCCCUAGCAAAGUGGUCUCCAGAGCUCAUUGAUCGUCUCCUUUCUCUCUCCUUCCCACCUUAUCGUUCCUUCCUUCCACAAACACUGAACGAACAGCUCCUCCACCUGUGGGUGAAGGCCCAGGGCUGGAUAAUAAUGCUGAUGGGUUCUUACAAUAUGCCCAGCCCCGCGCUAAAUACUGUGUUUCUUUUGAUGCAAGGAUUUAGAAGGCACAAUGGUUCCUAUUGUAUAGGAAAUGUUAGAAAGCCUGCCCAUGGCUUACAGUGGGAUUAUAACAUCUGAGUUCCUGCUCUUAAGGAGUCGAUACUAGAAAAGCUCUGGGGAGACCUUCCGCAAGAGCUGCGUUCGGCCAGAGACGGGAGCCACGAUCCAGAGUGUGCCUGAUGGGCGAAGUGGGGAGGAUGCGCCAGGGAUAGGGUCAGGGCGGUAUUAUGUUCCCAUUUCCUCGUACUGUAAACCUUCUCUGCUGGAAUUUGAAGGGAGGCUUCGAAGGCCCAGGAAACUUAAGAGAAGCUUAGGAAGUUCCCAAAGUUACAAGACUCAUGAGGCCACUCCCCACAGUAAUUGCUAAGGUCAGAGGAGAGUCUGGAAUGAUGCUUGUUCAGUUUCUUAGGGGAAAUGUUGCAACUUUUGUGACCCAGAUUAGAAAGGACAAGCAAUAGGGGCCACGGGGAAGAAAGGGAGCCCUCAGGCUGGUGUCUGGCUGAAGCCUCUCGCCAGCAGGGGAGCAAGAAUUUCAACAUAAUUAAUACUUACUGACCCAGAGAAUAUUCCUUUCAUAUCUUGAGGUUUCCUGUCAAAAUAACAAUGCACCGGAGGUUGGUUGGCCUACUCUGGAAGGUUAACGUUAUUUACAGUAAUAACUUCUCUCCUUCCUUCAGCUAUCACCCAGACUUUUAUUUUGUCAGUUGUCAUCCUGUCCAGUGUCCCCCAGGAACUGCCCCUUGACCUCACGGUGCCUCUUUAUCACCCCGUGAAGACAGUAGCCUCUCUGUCAACAGCCGACAGCCGUAUGUAAGACUGUUGCUAAAACAGCGAAGCCCUCGCACUCUGAGAUGACAACAGCUGGGAAGGCAGCAGAGGCAGGGCCUGACUUCAGCCCCGGUUCCCACGGAAGACUCCGGCUCUGGCACGCUUCCGGUGGAAGCUCAGCUCACUUGCUUCUUUGGGGAAUGAAGGAAUGCAGGUGUACGCUGAGACAUCCGUGGAGGUCCAGCGUCUCGGAGCACACAGAGAGUAGGGUCUCUAAGAGGCCUGUGGUUGAAGAUGGUGCUCUGCAAAUAAGUCAAGAAUAAGUAUCAAGAAAUACUCCUUUCUGGGGAUGGAGAGAUGGCUCAGGGGUUAAGGGCACAGGCUGUCUUACAGAGGGCCUGGGUUCAAGUCCCAACACCCACAUGGUGGCUAAUAGCUGUCUGUAACUCCAGUUCAAGGGGAUUUGACACCCUGUCCUGGCUUCCAUGAGCACCGCAUGCACAUGGCACACAGACAUAUGUGCAGACAAAACAUCCAUACAUAUUAAAAAUAGAAAGGAAUUAAAACAGAAAGAAAUGCUCCUGUAGGGCAUUCCAACCCCUGAGUCAGACUAAAGACCUUGUGACUGAGCUGAGAAGAUCCCCAUGAUUCUGCCCUCAGAAGGCAAUGUGCCAGCCUUCAGCCUCUUUGUCAGAGAAAGUAUCAACUAACCCUUCCUACAUUUCCUGGGAAACAGAGAUAGAUGCAUCAUGAUUUAAAGGUGUUUGGUGGUGGGGAGAGAUUGAGGUUCCAUGAAGGAAGCUGCUCAAAAGUCUGAGAAAUUAGUUCUUUCUCAGAACCAGUUUCCUCCUCUUGGGUUUAAGAACAUCUCCAUCCCUCUGAAGGCUGGUGGCAGGAGGCCCUUGGGACACUAGAAAUGUAUGUAUCCAGCCUUCUGACUUCAUACCUGUAAUAUGAUCCACAUUGGUUAGAGAUUGACAACCCCUCAGAGAGUCUAUAGACCACAACUUGCUUUCUUGAAAUGACAUAGCCAAAGUCCUGAGGAAUCAGACAUCUAAGAGUCCAUAUCCAGCCACGGAAUCAGUGAACCCCCAAAUUCCCAACCUUGUGUGCCUCCCAGCCAGUACAUGGUGUUUGUUGUUCUUGGUCAUCAAGAGCCCUGUUGGGUCAAUCCCCGGACAAACACACAAUUAUCCUUUAACUCCAGGGCAAACUUCCCAAGGCUUUGAUCUGAUUCCCUGGAUGCAAGGAUCACUGGCCUCUGGUGGACUCACAUCAGAAGACGAUGAGCUCAGAGGCUGGCUUGUUUUCACCCUUAUCAGUGCCGGUGCUGGCUAAACUGGAGGCUCCCAGCUGGAGGGAUGCUCCUGCUGGGACGGACAGAGCCGGAUUUACAGAUGGGCAGCUUGUUGGAUGGAAUUUAUGACUAGCUGUGUGACUUCAGGUACCGGUGUCUCUCCCGCUGUGAUAUCAGCUUUCUUAUCAGUGAAAAUGUAGAGGCUGGUGCAAUAGCCCAGUGGGUAAAGGUGAUGCUGCCAUGCCUGACCGCCUGAGUUUAGUCUCCAGAAUCUACCACAGAAAGAACUGUCUGCUCCAUACUGCCCUCUGGCCACCACACCCAGUCAUGCGCACAUCCCCUCCAACCCCAGGCAUUCAUGCAUAUCAAACAAAGAAGUAAAAAUGUAAUUUAAGAAAAAAAACAAGUUAAAAAAUGUAGACAAUACUUUCAUAUUUACACAAGACCAUGCAGAGAGCACACGCCUAGUGAAAUAGUGAGAUUUAAGAAGUGAUUGUUUUCUUUUUGGUUCCUCUGCUCAAAAAUAUAUGUGCCUGUGAAUGGAGCUGGGCCUAGAGGGCUUAAAUAAAAUCUACUCUAAACUAUU